GAUUGAAAUAUAACUGGUUUUUUUUUUAGGAAAUAAAAAGUGUCUUAACAGAUCAAUGAUGCCACAAAAAAAGAAAAAAAUCAAUAGCUGUUAAAAGGAUUGAGGACAGAAAAAGAAAAAGAAAACAGAUUUGCAGCACACAUGAAAGUUCUAAUUCCUGUAUAAGUAUGGAAACUGUGAAAGAAUUUCCUUAAAAUGAACAAUUAGUGAAAGCAAAAAUAAAAAAAAAACUUUUUGCAAAA